AGUUCUGAUGCACCGAAUUUUGCAGGUGGAGAACGAGGAGACAUGAGGCGCAUAAGUGCCCAUACGAAAGCGCUGUUGGACGAAAUCCAACAGCGCUUUUUA
rfam:Paraburkholderia caribensis strain Bcrs1W chromosome 1, complete sequence.